UACGAAGGGGGCUAGCGUUGCUCGGAAUUACUGGGCGUAAAGAGCUCGUAGGCGCCUGCGCGUCUGCUGUGAAAUCCCGGGGCUUAACCCCGGGCGUGCAGUGGAUACGGGCUGGCUGGAGGCAGGCAGGGGAGAAUGGAAUUCCUGGUGUAGCGGUGAAAUGCGCAGAUAUCAGGAAGAACACCCGUGGCUAAGGCGGCUCUCUAGUACGGUACUGACGCUGAGACGCGAAAGCGUGGGGAGCGAACAGG
rnacentral:rRNA from 1 species